rnacentral:misc_RNA from 1 species
CCGAGUGAGGGCCCUCCGGGUCCAACCUCCCACCCGUGUCUAUCGUACCUUGUUGCUUCGGCGGGCCCGCCUCACGGCCGCCGGGGGGCUUCUGCCCUCUGGCCCGCGCCCGCCGAAGACACCAUUGAACGCUGUCUGAAGAUUGCAGUCUGAGCAAUUAGCUAAAUAAGUUA